GCCUGGGUGGCUCAGUCAGUUGAGCACCUGACUUCGGCUCAGGUCAUGAUCUCACAGUUCGUGAGUUCGAGCCCUGUGUCGGGCU
rnacentral:tRNA from 1 species